GUCCAGACUUUAAAUUAUUUAAUAUACGUCUAUAACUACUCUAUGACCCCUACAUUUUGAGGUUGUCUACAGAAAUGGACGGAGUUAAACACUAAGUAACCUUGAACACAAAACUGUCGACCGUGAAAAAAGGUUGAUACAGUACAUU